UCCAUUUAAACUUGUCCAAAC
rnacentral:snRNA from 1 species